GCAGUAGUCAUAUGCUUGUCUCAAAGCUUAAGCCAUGCAAGUCUCAGUACAGACUAUAUUAAAGUGAAACCGCAAAAGGCUCAGUAAACCAGUUUUAAUUUACUAGAGUUAACUUGACUGUGCUUGGAUAACUGUGGUAAUUCUAGAGCUAAUACAUGCAACAAAGCCGUGACCAUUCGUGGUCAGGGCGCUUUUAUUAGACCAAGACCAAUCGCCCGGCCAGUCCGGGCGUUAAGUUGAGGAACCUAGAUAACACAGCAGAUCGCAUGGUCUUAGUACCGGCGACCUAUCUUUCAAAUGCCUGACUUAUCAACUGACGAUGGUAGACUCUGUGUCUACCAUGGCUGUUACGGGUAACGGGGAAUCAGGGUUCGAUUCCGGAGAGGGAGCCUGAGAAACGGCUACCACAUCCAAGGAAGGCAGCAGGCACGCAAAUUACCCACUCCCGGAACGGGGAGGUAGUGACAAAAAAUAACGAUACGGGACUCGAUAUGAGGCCUCGUAAUCGGAAUGAGUACACUCUAAAUCCUUUAACAAAAAUCUAUUGGAGGGCAAGUCUGGUGCCAGCAGCCGCGGUAAUUCCAGCUCCAAUAGCGUAUAUUAAAGUUGUUGCGGUUAAAAAGCUCGUAGUUGGUUCUGCGUCCCGCGCUGUCGGUACACCGUUUGUCGGUGACACUGGCAUGACGCGGGAUGUCCUGUCGGUGGCGGCGGAGACCAUAUCGCCGUCGGCUAACACCGCGGCGUGUUGGCCUUCUGUCGCCGGCUUUAUCCUACCGCGGUGCUCUUCACUGAGUGUCGAGGUAGGCCGACACGUUUACUUUGAACAAAUUAGAGUGCUUAAAGCAGGCAAAAAUCUCUGCCAGAAUAGUGGUGCAUGGAAUAAUGGAACAGGACCUUGGUUCUAUUCUGUUGGUCUCCGGAACACAAGGUAAUGAUCAAUGUGGACAGGCGGGGGCAUUCGUAUUGCGGCGUUAGAGGUGAAAUUCUUGGAUCGUCGCAAGACGCACUAGAGCGAAAGCAAUUGCCAAGUAUGUCUUAAUUGAUCAAGAACGAAAGUUAGAGGUUCGAAGGCGAUCAGA
rnacentral:rRNA from 1 species